rnacentral:lncRNA from 1 species
UACUUAGCUUAGAACUUUUAGGAAAUCUACCUGAAAACAACUCAAGGGUCUAUAGUAAAGACUAUAUUAUAAUUCUCUUAGCUUUAAAUCAUAAAUACUGAAUAAUGUGGAUUCCUUUCUUAACUCAGGCUCAAAGUAAUCUUUCUUUAAAAAAAUCCAAGUACUAUUUGAUUGAAUGAUACUAAACAACAUACUCUUCAAGUAACAUC